GAAGUCGGGUGAGGCCCGGACGCCAUAGUGUCUGCGAGCUGUACGCACACCCAACGCAGCCGGAACCCCGAGAGAGACUAACCAGCGUGCUCGGCGCGACGGAUAUUCCCGUGACCGCCGGGUUCUGAGGCCGCUUCGCGCAGCGUGCACUUCCGCCCUGACGUCACCACGCCGACCGGCGCGCGCCAACUAGUCCCUCCAGACCGCGCCCCGUCCUGUGGGUCCACACCGGCUCAUGUCGGCGCCGGCUGUGUCUGCCCGGGUAUCCUGAGGCCUGUGGCUGAAACGAGGCCAGGUGGAAGAAAGAUAAAAGAUCCUGGACCAUGGGUGCUGCCUCCAGCUUCCAGUCUAUGUCAUGGCUACCUACUGUAUCUGCUGUUACCUGGUACCUGGAUCAUCACAGUAGCUUCCCAAAUGGGAGGCUCCUGCUGUAAUUUGACUUGAGAGUAACCUUCAAAGGCCCAGGUAUUAAAAGUUUGGCCACCAGGGGCUGGGGAUUUAACUCAGUGGUUUUGCUGCCUGCUGCGCAAGUGCAAGGACCCUAGUUCAAUCCCCGGUACCCCCCCGCCCCCCCAAAAAAGUUUGGCCACCAGCUUGGCCCUAUUGGAAAAUGGUGGAAACUUUAAGACCUACUGGGAGGUCUUUGGGUGUUGGUGGUUGCAGUCAGAGACAUGCCUUCAUAGGAAAUUGUGGGGCUCUGGUCUUGGGCUCCCUCUCUUUUGUUGCUUGGCCACAAGUUAAGCAGUUUUGGCUCCACCAUUCACUCCUGUCAUGAUGCCUUGACACAGGCCCAGAAGCAAUGGGCUGAUGGGUCAUGGACUGAAACCUUCAAAACUAGAAGCCAAAAUAAAACUUUUCUCUCUACAAGCUGAUUAUCUCAGGUAUUUGAUAUGCUGAUGGUGAGCUACCAAGUGUAUCUCCAUUUUCUUCCAUCCUUUAUCCAUCUUGAAAAAUUUCUAAAGUAGAUUUGAAACAUUAGGGUGUUUAUCUCACUUACUUAAAGAACAUUUUGGCAUUUGGGCCUUUCCACCAAUUUUGUUUUGAGACAGGGUCUCAAUAUGUAGUCCAGGCUGGCCUUGAACUCACUAUGUAGCCUAGGCUGGUCUCAAACUUGUGGCAGUCCUCCUGCCUCAGCCUUCCCAGAACUGGGAUUACAGGAGUGCACCACCAUGCCUGCCUCCACAAUCUAAAUUAACCUUGUCACUCAUGUCCACAUCAUCACCUCACCUUAUUCCUCAUUAUGUCUGAACCAAGACCAGCUAGACUUGACUUCUUGCUAACAUGUUAUUUAGUUUCCCAAUUUCACAUUUUCCUUCAUUCUUUUUCUCAAGCCUACAACAUUCUUACUUCUUUCUCCUAAUCAUAUCCUACCUAUUGUUGAGGUUUAGAUGAAGUUCUACUUCUUGUUAGAAGCCUUCCCUGCCUAAUCUAGCUUUUGCUAAUUUUCUCUUUUGUUGGACCUCUAAAAGAAAAAAAACUUUCUAUACUCUGUAAGUACAGUAACUGAGUCUAUAUAGAUAAACUGACAGUAGACAGAUUGACAGAAGAAAAAGCAUAUAAAUUUAUAAUGUGCAUAAGGACAUCAGAGGAAAGAAAAAACAAAUGAGAUCUAGAAGCUUGCAUACCCUCUUCAUAGAAGAGCAAGGAUGGGGUCUUUAGACAGUAUUACAGGAGUAAGUGAUUUGGGGAGAGUGGACGUGGACCCUCAUGGAGUGAUAGCCUGUGAUGGGUCUGUCUGGGCCACUGUGAUUUAAAUGUAAUCUCUCUGGUUGAAGAGAUUCCUUAUGAGGGCAUGAAUGACAGUUGGAUCUUUUCUGUAUUUAGUUAGAUAAGGAAAUGUCAAAGAAACCCCCUCCUUCCAUUUGGAUGAGAAAAAGGGGCAAGAGACAGUACCCCCCCCAAAAGAAAGAAACAAAUAACAAAUAAACCACAAAAAAACGUUGAAAAAGUUAGUAAGAUUAUUCUGGAUUAUCCAGAGUCCCAAUCUAACCAUGUGAAGUGUAUGUGUGUGUGUGUGUGUGGCUUGAGCCUAGGGCAUGCUAAGCUACAGCUCUAGCCAUUUUUACUUUUUAAUUUUGAGUCAAGGUCUUUUUAAACUUCCCAGGCUGUCCUCAAACUUUAAUUCCUCUGCCUUAGCUGCCUGAACAGGAGGGAUUAUAGGCAUGUGCUGCUGCGCUCUAUCCACUAGAAUCUUGAAAAGCAGAAAGCUUUUCCAGCUGUGGUCAGAAUCACAUGUGGCCUUGAAAGUAUGGUCAGAGAGAUGCAAUGUUGCUGAGUUUGAAGCUGGAAGAAGGAGACAUGAGUAAAGGAAUGCAGGUUGCAUCUAGGAGCAGGAAAAGGCAAAGAAAUAGAUUGUCUUCUACAGCAACCAGAAAGUAAUGGCUACUGUGUCCACACCAUGAUUUUUAUCCCUGUGAGACCUAUGUCGACUUCUGUUCUACAGAAUGGUAGCAGAAUAAAUUUUUGUUCCUUUAAACCACUAAAUUUGUGGCAAUUUCUUACAGUAGCUACUGAAAGCUUAUGAAGGAUGAUAUGCCAUUUCCUAAUGUUCUUUAAACAUGCUUCUCAAACUUUAAGAUGCGUAAAGUCACUUGAGGAUCUUGUUAAACUUCAAAUUGUGAUUCAGUAUGUCUGGGUGGAGCCUAAGAUUGUGAGCUUCUAAAACCACUUCCAACAUUUCUUAAAACACAUCUAGUUGAUGCUGACACUGCCAGUCUAAGGACUAUAUUAACAAUGAUUUUAAACCUUAGAUGAUUUUCUCUCUUUUACUAUCUUUGUGUGGAAGAACAAACCAGUGGUUGAAUACUAGGUCUGGGCUUAACUAUUAGGUAAAAAAUCCUGUCACUUGAUAGCUAUAUGAUGUUAAGCAAAUUACUUAAUUUGCUUAAGUCAUUUAAGCAAUUAUUUAAGCUCAGUUUUUUUCACCAAUAAAAUGGUGAUAGUAAUACUUGCUUAAAGAUUAUCAUCAGGUAAAAUCAUUACAGAUUAAUGCAAUUGUUUUCCAGUUCUUGGAAAUACAAGUUAUCUGCCUGGUGUGGCCCAAUGUUUGAGGCCUAUUAUACUCCCAGGGACUUUUGGUUGUCAGCUGUAAACUUUUUGUAUUCAUUCAUUCAUUAAUUCAUCAUCCAUCCAUUUGUUCAUCUUUAAACUCUUUAUUUAUUUAUUGACAUCUAAGUACCAAGUUGUAUUCCAGGCAUUAGGAAUAUGGUGACAAUUAAAACAGAUUCUCCUUUCAAGGGUGAUGCAAAUGAUACACAUUUAAAAUGUGAUAAAUUUGACUAAUAUUUUCUAAAAAAGUUGGAAGGAUCUUUGAGAUAUAUUAUUAAAUGAACAAAAGAAAGUUCCUGCACAAAAUGUAUAUUGUGAUCCUUUUCAUAUGAAAUUAAGAAUGUACUGGGGAGAGGGGAGGACAGGGUGGGGUAGUAAAAAUGAUUAAGAUGCAGUAUGUAUAUGUGCCAAUUCCUCAAGAUGAUUAUAAUCUUAUAAUUUGUAUCACAAACAUACAUCAAUAAUAAUAAUAAUAAUGAUAGAAUAAGAGUAUGUGUAUAGUGUAUGGGGCUAGAGGUAUGGCUGUGUCAUAAGAGCAAGUACUUACCAUGCCACAGGUCCUGGAAUCCACAGCAUAAAUAAAUACAAUAGCUAGGCAUGGUGGCACACACCUGAAAUCCCAGCACUCCGGAGGUUGAUUGAGGCAGGAGGAUCACCACAAGUGUGAGGCCAGGCUGGGGUACAUAGUGAGUUCAAGGUCUCAUAGUGAGACCUUGACUCAGAAAAUAAAAUAAAAUAAAAAUUGUAUAAUUGUAUCUAUCUGGAAGAUACUACCUUUGCAGAAGGUAAUAAGGUAGUGUUGGUGAGAGACUGAGGAAUAGACACGCAGGUGAGAAACAGGCUUUCAUGGUUUACUUUGUGCACUUCUAUACUGCAAUGCUUUUCCAACUAUCUAUAGUGAAGGAUUCUUGCCAUGUAGUGGACAAUUAUUCUUUUAUGAAACCCAAUAAAGAUGAGUUACUAAAGUGAAAUUUCAGAGCCAGGCAUGGUAGCACAUGCCUAUAAUCCCAUCACCUGGGAGGCUGAAGCAGGAGGAUCUCUGCACGUUUCAGGCCAGCCUAGACUGCAGCAGACCAGCUGCAGUUGAUGUAGGGUAGGAAGGGGAGAUGUCCUGGGCCGGCGAUGAGAAAAGAACCUUCACAAUAAUGUUCAGGGUUCCCUCUGAGAAGUCUCAGGGUCUGAUUUAUUUUUAUAUCUUUAAGCAAUAGCUNNNNNNNNNNNNNNNNNNNNNNNNNNNNNNNNNNNNNUCCUGGGCCGGCGAUGAGAAAAGAACCUUCACAAUCAAUGUUCAGGUUCCCUCUGAGAAGUCUCAGGGUCUGAUUUAUUUUUAUAUCUUUAAGCAAUAGCUGGGAGGCAUUGGGCGGAACAUGUUUACAUUUUAAGUUGCCUUAGAAUUUCUAUUGAAGUAAAGGUUAUUUUUUGCUAAACAAAGUACAAUUUCUCUAAGCUGUUUCAUUUCAUUGAACAUCAUGAAUACAUAUUUAAAAAUUACAAUUGUCCCCUUAUUUACCCACACCUAAACAGAACAGAAAGUAACUUAAUCAGAAUCUUUAUAUCAGCUGGGGUACAAGCAAGGUUUAAUCAACUAAGUGUCAAACUUGGGUCACCGCUGGUC
rnacentral:lncRNA from 1 species